UGACUCCUCUCCCUGCUCUGUGACUCCUCUCCCUGCUUCCCCUGCUCCUGCUUCCCUUCACAUCUCCCUAAACCCUCUGUCCCUCCACAUUUCCCCUCCUCUCCUGGCCUCUCUCAUCUCCUGGCACUGCUUUUGCAGCUCUGGAUCCCCACGAGGGAAGGCAAUGAUUCCACAUUUCAGACCCACUUAUCUGGGAGAUAAAGGAGGUUCUGGGCACGUUCUUUUCCCUCCGAGGCCAAGGGGGUCACUGCUCUCUAACCCAGGACACGUUGCAGAUGGGCUCUGUUUCCUCCAGACCCCUCUCCAGCAGCUUUGCUGUGCUGUUUGACCCAAGGCUCAGGCUCCCAGCAGCAAUCCCAGGCUGUGGUUUUCAGGUCCAUGGGACAGCCUUGUGAUGAUCUCAGUGACCCCACAGAGCUGCUGUGACAACAAACACGGCCCCACUUGGCUGCUGCAGCCCUGCUGAGCUGAGCUUUGUGAGAUUGUGAGUUUGAGUUUGAGCUGUGUUUGUUACAGCCUCCCUCCAGCACAGCAAAACAAGGCAAGGAAUUGAGAAUUACAGGUGGGAGAGCUCGGUGGGGCUGCUCAGCUCUCCCAGAUUGGAGCAGUGGGACAUUAAAGCCACGCUCACCUGGCCAGGACCGGCUGCCAGAACCUCCCAGGGCUCCUGGGGUGUCCCCUGGAUGUUCCCAAAGCAGAGCUGCUGCUCCUGCAGCCUCUGACACUCAUUUGAGCAUGAACAUGUUGCUCAUCUAAUGUUUCUACAAACAGUUCGGGACCUGCCAGGCUUUUCUCUCCAUCACAGCCAGGGAAACUUCUAUUUUUCUUCUUCUUUUCAUGCUCAGAAGGAUCAUUAAUUUUAACCUUCUGUAAACAACAAACCCUUCUCCUCUCCCAGCCAAGUUUCCCGGCGCCAUCUAGUGUCACCCCCACCCUUCCCUGUCCCUGGGAAUUGUCACCUCCCCGGGAUUUAACUGCAAGGAGAUGGAAAACCGAAGCCACCACACCCACAGGGGUUGCUUUGGGACCGAGUCCUGACACCCAACCCUACAUCCUCCUGUCUGGAGGGUUCCAGAAGGAUGUUUUAUCCCGAAAUAUCUUUGUAGAGCUGUGCUCUUCCAAAGUUGUUUUUCAGCUGAGCUGUUUGGGAGGGAUUCCUCUCCCACCAAAAAAAA